UUGACUAAACAAGACUUUAAUGAUUAAAAACUUACUAGGACUUUUCUGAAAACUUCUAUCUUUAUAUUAGAAACAUGAAAUAAGUCUUCAUGAGGCUGUUUGAUGUGGAUCCCUUAGAUUAGUUCCCCUUUCUUGAGAAUUUGCUAGAGUCACAUUCCGGAAAGCAGCUAUGAGGAAGCAGAGCUGGAGGUAGAACAGACUUGUUCCUUGUUCAGGUUGCCAGAGGAUGUACUUGUUGAGAACGUAUUGCAUAAAGCAAUGAUAUCACAACCAAUGAAAAUGCAAUAGACCAGAUUUCUGCUUAGGAAAUGUUUAUGGAACAGAUUCUCCCUCUAACUUUCUACUAUGAAACUGUUCACACAUGCGGAAAACCAGAAAGAAUAGUGAAAAGAAUACCCUUCUCCUAGGUAGUAUUUCUUUGUAUACCUAAAUCCUUCUAAGAUAAUAAAUAAACCUCCAAAAAUAUGUGGCAGGUAUACUUUAUCUCUGUUCCAGCAUUCCAAGUUCAAUGUAGAGCCAAUCCUAUGGGCUGUAUCUUCAAAAUAUGCCCAGCAUUUGACCACCUGUCACCACUACCACCUGGUUCAAGCCAUCCUCAUCUCUCUCCUGGAUUAUAGGAAUAGCUCCCUCACCAGCUUCCCUCUUGCUGUUAUUGAUCCCUUCAGGAACCUCUCAAAAAAGGCAGCCAGAGUGACCCUGUUAAAAUGUAAAUAACAUCAUGCCAAUAUUGUGUCCACCCCUGCUUGUAGCUUUCCAUCUGACAAGGCCUCACACAAUCUGGCACUCUGUUAACCCUCUGAUAUUAUGUGUUUUAUUUUUCCCUCCCAAAUCUGACCCAGCCGCCUGACCUCCUCAUUGCUUCCUGCAGGAGGCACCUGUCCCUGUUUGCAGCCACUACACUUGCAUUCUCUUCCUGGAAUGUCCUUGGAUACCAGCAGGGCUCACUCACUUUCUUGAGAUCUUUAGUCAAAUGUCACCUUCUCAGCCAGACACUGUUUGGUCAGCCUACUAAAAACUUUAUACUACCUCCCAACACUUCCUAUCUCUCUUCUGAUGGCCAGGUGACACAGGAUUGUAAUCAUCCUUUUUUUAAAAAACUAACGCACGAAAUUGUGAAGUCUCUGUUCUCCCUGUGCUCUUUCUGUGGGUGUGUCAGAGUGUCAGUACAGAAAAGCAGGAGGAAGUUGAAGGGUGGAGAGUUUCAGUUUUGUUUUAGAACAUGCUUUUUUCUUGGGUUUAGAAGGUUCUAAAAUAUUUUUAAAUAAAUAACAUUACAAAAAAUAUCUAUAAAUUUGA
rnacentral:lncRNA from 13 species